rnacentral:rRNA from 1 species
GUGCACGCUGGCGGUAGGCCUCACCCCUGCAAGUCGCACGGCAGCACAGUAAGAGCUUGCUCUUACGGGUGGCGAGUGGCGGACGGGUGAGGAAUACAUCGGAAUCUACUUUUUCGUGGGGGAUAACGUAGGGAAACUUACGCUAAUACCGCAUACGACCUACGGGUGAAAGCAGGGGAUCUUCGGACCUUGCGCGAUUGAAUGAGCCGAUGUCGGAUUAGCUAGUUGGCGGGGUAAAGGCCCACCAAGGCGACGAUCCGUAGCUGGUCUGAGAGGAUGAUCAGCCACACUGGAACUGGGACACGGUCCAGACUCCUACGGGAGGCAGCAGUGGGGAAUAUUGGACAAUGGGCGCAAGCCUGAUCCAGCCAUACCGCGUGGGUGAAGAAGGCCUUCGGGUUGUAAAGCCCUUUUGUUGGGAAAGAAAAGCAGCAGGUUAAUACCCCGCUGUUCUGACGGUACCCAAAGAAUAAGCACCGGCUAACUUCGUG